rnacentral:rRNA from 1 species
GGGAUUGCCUUAGUAACGGCGAGUGAAGCGGCAAAAGCUCAAAUUUGAAAUCUGGCCCUUUCUGGGUCCGAGUUGUAAUUUGUAGAGAGUGUUUCGGGUGAGUCCGCGGUCUAAGUCUAUUGGAACAUAGUGUCACAGAGGGUGAGAAUCCCGUAUGUGGCCGCGGUACGAGUCCAUGUGAAACCUCUUCGACGAGUCGAGUUGUUUGGGAAUGCAGCUCAAAAUGGGUGGUAAAUUUCAUCUAAAGCUAAAUACCGGCUGGAGACCGAUAGCGCACAAGUAGAGUGAUCGAAAGAUGAAAAGCACUUUGGAAAGAGAGUUAAACAGUACGUGAAAUUGUUGAAAGGGAAGCGUUUGCAACCAGACUUGCCCGUAGGCGAUCAGUCGCUGUUCUCAGCGGUGUACUCGUCCUAUGAUCAGGCCAGCAUCGGUUUCGGCGGUCGGAUAAAGGCCUUGGGAAUGUAGCUUCUCUUCGGGGGAGUCUUAUAGCCCUCGGUGUAAUGCGGCCAGCCGAGACCGAGGACCGCGCUUCGGCUAGGAUGCUGGCGUAAUGGUUGUAAACGACCCGUCUUGAAACACGGACCAAGGAGUCUAACAUCUAUGCGAGUGUUUGGGUGUUAAACCCAUACGCGGAAUGAAAGUGAACGGAGGUGAGAUCCCUCGAGGGCGCAUCAUCGACCGAUCCAGAUGUCUUCGGAUGGAUUUGAGUAUGAGCAUAGCUGUUGGGACCCGAAAGAUGGUGAACUAUGCCUGAAUAGGGUGAAGCCAGAGGAAACUCUGGUGGAGGCUCGCAGCGGUUCUGACGUGCAAAUCGAUCGUCAAAUUUGGGUAUAGGGGCGAAAGACUAAUCAACCU